CCCUUUCUGCCCUCUGCCAUGUGAGGUCACAGUGUUCCUCCCUCCUGAGGAUGCAGUGUUCAUGAAAGCAAACACUGGGCCCUCACCAGGCAACAAACCUGCUGGUGCCUUCAUCUUGGACUUCCCAGCCUUCGGAACUGUUAAGAAGCUCCACUGCGCUUUGUCCAUUGCAAGUUGAGAAGUGAGGCCCCAGCUGUCACAUACAGCUCCAUCACAAGAGGGAGCCCCAUUGCUAGUCCCCAUCCUCAAAGCCUCUGCGUGAUGUUGUCUACUGUUACUCUUCACUACCCUGUGGGAGCCAAAGCCCUGGACAUAAGAACAGAAGGCAAGCAGUGGUGGCUGAGAGGAAGAACUGACACCUUUGUGCUAUCAGAGCACUUUGCAGAGGAGCUGUUAGUGGCCCUGUAGGAGUCUGCUGGCCAUACAUCUGGGUGUCAAAUCAAGAGAGCAUGAGAAGUUGGACAGGAAAGGUCCAAGGCAAAAUGGUUACUAAAGGCCAUCCCUGAUCCUGACCCUAAAAGAAGAAAAGGCCCUUUGCUCUUGGCAUGCUUUUGCAGGAGUGUCUCAGUCUGUUUGGGCUGCUAUAACAUUGACUGGGUGAUCUGCCUGCCUGGCCUCCCAAAGUGCUGGGGUUACAGGUGUGAGCCGCUGCACCAGGCCUUGAGGUCAGGAGUUCGAGACCAGCCUGGCCAACAUGGUGAAACCUGUCUUUACUAAAAAUACAGAAAUUAGCCAGGCAUGGAGGCGCAUGCCUGUAAUCCCAGCUACUGGGGAGGCUGAGGCAGGAGAAUCGCUUGAACCCAGAAGGUGGAGGUUGCGGUGAGCCCAGAUAGUGCCAUUGCACUCUAGCCUGGCCAACAAGAGUGAAACUCUGUCUCAAAAAAUAAAUAAACAAACAAACAAACAACAA
rnacentral:lncRNA from 10 species